UGCCACACCCUCUGUGUGGGUGGACCAUUUCAGUUUGUCUGUGGUGUGUACGCAGAGGAACUUACAACUUUCCUCCUUCUCCAGUACUGUCCACUCAAUGUGGAUAGGUGGGUGCUCUCUCUGCUGUUUCCUGAAGUCCACGAUCAUCUCCUUUGUUUUGUUGACGUUGAGUGAGAGUUUGUUUUCCUGACACCACACCCCGAGUGCCCUCACCACCUCCCUGUAGGCUUUCUCGUCAUUGUUGGUAAUCAAGCCCACUACUGUUGUGUCGUCUGCAAACUUUAUGAUUGAGUUGGAGGCGUGCUUGGCCACACAGUCAUGGGUGAACAAGGAGUACAGGAGAGGGCUGAGCAAGCACCCUUGUGAGGCCCCAGUGUUGAGGAUCAGCGAAGAUGAGAUGACGUUUCCUACAUUCCCCACCUGUGGGCGGCACGUCAGAAAGUCCAGGACCCAAUUGCACAGGGCGGCGUUAAGACCCAGGGCCUCCAGCUUAAUGAUGACCUUGGAGGGUACUAUGGUGUUCAAUUCUGAGCUGUCGUCAAAAAAAGAUACUGGGUCUUUGCAGGAGUUUCCCUGUCUGAAUGAGAGUUUGGAGGGAUCCAUGCUGUCCCUCUCACUGAAGAGCAAAUGGAAAAAGAGACAGUACUUUGGUGAAUGUCUGGACAUGGAGACCACUCCUCAUGAGCUCAUUCAGCAGUGUUCACCACCUCACAAGCAGCGGGUGGUCUACAAGGGCAAAGAGAACGAGGAUAACCAGUUUGUGCUUGCCAGGCGACCAAGGACAAGGAGGGAGUUUUCAGGUGUAUUAUAGCCAUGUGUUGGGAGGAACACAACAAGCUUAAAAAUACAUAGCUAAUUAUCUGGAAUUCUUAAUAAUUGUUCUGUUUCAGGGAAGUCACUAUUUGGGCAAGUUAUUGAAUGUCUGACAUUGUUUUUAAUGGCAGGCUUGUCCUGGGACAGUCUCCCAGAUGAGUUGCUGUUCAACUAUCAUUUUAAACUACUUACAUAGUACAUUGCGAUAUUUCUGCUUGAACAUCUUAGAUAUCGCACUGUUUUUCUAACACAGGCAAAUAGAUGAGCAAAAUGUAUCGGAGUCUGUCAUUAAGUCUCUGUAUGUUUUUGUGCCUGGCAGGUUUGAUGAGUCUCUGGCAUAGUGUGGAUCUGAUAGGGAAAGCCCAGCUAGAUCAAGCUCUUGGGCAGAUGCUUACGGUUUGAGUACUGGGACUGCGCUGCCCCCAUACCUGCAUUGAAGAACCAUGUUUCACCCACACACAGCUUGAAGAGCUGAUCUUGUCGUGGUGUGACUUCAGCACUGGUCAUGUGAAGGCUGUUGUCAGUAACAUCCCCUCCAAUAUAACCCAGCUCAACCUCAGUGGCUACAGACAGAACCUUACUAUGGAAGAUGUGAAAGACUUGGUGGAGAGAUGUCCUAACCUCGUAAAUCUGGAUUUAAGGUGCGUUCAUACUGCAUGUCCUGAGCUGGACUGAAAUGUGGAUCCACAUGAUUUCUUUGGCCAUUACAUUAUUUGACAUGGAUACUGUACAAAUACUGUUUCUUCAUACCAUAAUCUCAUGAUGAUAUCUUGUCUGUGUGUUUGUGUUAGUGACAGUUUUCUGAUGACGAGCUCCAGUUUCCCCAUCCUUCAGCAGCUGCAGUCUCUUAGACACUUAGCUUUGAGCCGCUGCUACCAGGUUCACCCUGCUGCCUUAGUGUAAUUCACAGACAAGCUCUCAAGUGAUAAUAUGAAUGCUUUAGUAGUCUUGUUGCUUUCCUCAGCUGCUAAUUUCUCUCUUCUUUUGUUGCACUAACUAAGCCUGUUGUUUAUUUCAGUGAUUAUGAGAAGUUCCCAGAACUGCAGACAUUGGAGGUAUACAGACUGGUCCAGGACACCUACCUGCCAAUCCUGAGUAGAGGUUUGCCCCGUCUCCAAAUUAACACCCGGCCCUUCUCAGGCAUGGCCCUUCCCACCGAGGCCACUUGGAGGGACCGCACCAUGUGGGCAUGACCUGUCGCUUGGUGUUCACACUAGAGGUCGACCGAUUAUUAUUUUUCAACGCCGAUACCGAUUAUUGGAGGACCAAAUAAGCCGAUACCGAUUAAUCUGACGAUUUUUAUUUUUUAAAUGUAUUUGUAAUAAUGACAAUUACAACAAUACUGAAUGAACACUUAUUUUAACUUAAUAUAAUACAUCAAUAAAAUCAAUUUAGCCUCAAGUAAAUAAUGAAACAUGUUCAAUUUGGUUUAAAUAAUGCAAAAACAAAGUGUUGGAGAAGAAAGUAAAAGUGCAACAUGUGCUAUAUAAGAAAGCUAACGUUUCAGUUCCUUGCUUAGAACAUGAGAACAUAUGAAAGCUGGUGGUUCCUUUUAACAUUAGUCUUCAAUAUUCCCAGGUAAGAAGUUUUAGGUUGUAGUUAUUCUAGGAAUUAUAGGACUAUUUCCCUCUAUACCAUUUGUAUUUCAUUAACCUUUUGACUAUUGGAUGUUCUUAUAGGCACUUUAGUAUUGCCAGUGUAACCGUAUAGCUUCCGUCCCUCUCCUCGCUCCUCCCUGGGCUCGAACCAGCAACACAACGACAACAGCCACCAUCGAAGCAGCGUUACCCAAGCAGAGCAAGGGGAACAACUACUAGAAGGCUAGCUAGCUAGCCAUUUCACUUCGGUUACACCAGCCUUAUCUCGGGAGUUGAUCGGCUUGAAGUCAUAAACAGCGCAAUGCUUGACGCACUAGCGUCAAGGGGCACUAGCUAUGUAUGGAUCUGAGCCAUGUUUGGUCUGGUUCCUGUUUGUGCUCACAUUUGGUUGAGAAAUUUAAGAAAAUGUAGAUGUUUCUUUUUAAUUCAUGCAUUGACAAAUAAGAUGCACUGUCAAUGUCUAAAAUGUUUUAUUUAAAUAGUUAUGUGAUGUUUUGAUUUCACACAAUUUAAUAAUCAGACAAAUGCCUCCUGUGUUGUAUACUGAACAAAAAUAUAAAUGCAACCUUUUCAAAGAUUUUACUGAGUUACAGAUCAUGUAAGGUAAUCAGUCAAUUGAAAUAAAUUCAUUAGGCCCUAAUCUAUGGAUUUUAUAUGCCUGGGUAGAGGCGCAGCUAUGGGUGGGCCUGGGCCAACCAAUCAGAAUUCGUUUUUUCCCCACAAACAAGCUAUAGAACUGACAGAAAUACUCUUCAGCAUCCCUGCCCACCCUCUGACGAUCCCGCAGGUGAAGAAGCUGGAUGUGGAGGUCCUGGGCUGGCGUGGUUAAACAUGCUCUGCGAUUGUGAGGCUGGUUAGCUGUACUGCCAAAUUGUCUUAAAACUACAUUGGAGGCAGCUUAUGGUAGAGAAAUGAACAUUCAAUUCUUUGGUGGACAUUCCUGUAGUCAGCAUGCCAAUUGCACAUUCCCUCAACUUGAGACAUCUGUGGCAUUGUGUUGUGUGACAAAACUGCACAUUUUAGAGUGCUCUUAUUGUCCCCAGCACAAGGUGCAACUGUAAUGUUUAAUCAGCCUCUUGCUAUUCCACAUCUGUCAACUGCCUGGAUUGUCUUGACAAAGGAUAAAAUGCUCACUAACUGGGAUGUAAUCAAAUUUGUGCACAAUAUUUGAGAGAAAUAAGCUUUUUGUACAUAUAGAACAUUUCUGGAUCUUUUAUUUCAGCUCAUGAAACAUGGGAGCAGCACUUCACUUGUUGCGUAAAUGUUUUUGUUUAGUGUAGUGUCAUGACCUGGCACCAUAAGGUGCAUAGACAGUCAUUUCAGAUAUAGAAGUAGAGCCACAGAAAGUAGCCCACAUACAGUUCACAUGGCAGAAUUCACAACACAAUAAGGAUGUAGACAUCGCUCCCUUCUGCAUAUUAAUCUUACACAAUAUGUGAUUCAUAACUAAAACCAUCCCUCUUAACUCCUGGGCAUUUUCCAAAAUGACCCCUUGAUGAACACUGGAAGCAAAUAUUUUAGUAUUUUCCAGUUUCAGGUCAAGGCACUGUUUUGUCAAAGUUGAGGUGAAGACCCUCGAGGCCCUGACCUGUUGAGCAAUACAAUGCUUUCGGGUUUUGAUCUUAGUGCAUUUGAUUUUAAAUGUUCUACCCCCACUCCCCAACACAAUCAGUGUUUGAAGCCAAGCAGCUCAAAAGACCUAGAAAAAUAUAUAAAAUCGGCCAAAUAGAAUAGAUUUUUUUUAAUUUAAAUUUGAUCAGAAUUUGUCCACUAACACAGCAACAUUUUUUCCAAUAGUAAUUGGCACAGUCUGAAAAAUGGCCAAAAUAUAAAUAUAAAAUAAACUAAUGAUGGCAGCACAUCCAGUUAUUAUAACACAACAUUCCGUAAGAAAUGGUGUGUCACGUGGGCUCACUCUGUCUCUCAGUUUUGAAUUAUAUAGCAAUGGGUGAAGAGGAUUGAUUUGGGUAGUGUUUGGCAAUGAUAAAUGCCCAAGGCAAAGUCAGAAACUCACAGCUGCCUAUAUGGUCUCUUAUGCAAACUCAAAACUUGUGAAACUAACAAUCCAUAAUGGAGCAAGGCUGCUGCAAGUAAU